rnacentral:rRNA from 1 species
UACGAAGGGGAGCUAGCGUUGCUCGGAAUCACUGGGCGUAAAGCGCACGUAGGCGGUAUUGUUAAGUCAGGGGUGAAAUCCUGGAAGCCUCGAACUCCAGAACGUGCCUUUGAUUGACUGGCGAUCUCGAGUCCGGGAGAGGUGGAGUGGAACUGCGAGUGUAGAGGUGAAAUUCGUAGAUAUUCGCAAGAACGACCAGUGGC